UUUCCUACGGGAGGCAGCAGUCGGGAAUAUUGCGCAAUGGAGGAAACUCUGACGCAGUGACGCCGCGUAUAGGACGAAGGUCUUCGGAUUGUAAACUAUUGUCGUUAGGGAAGAGAAAGGACAGUACCUAAGGAGGAAGCUCCGGCUAACUACGUGCCAGCAGCCGCGGUAAUACGUAGGGAGCAAGCGUUAUCCGGAUUUAUUGGGUGUAAAGGGUGUGUAGACGGCGUGCCAAGUCUGGUGUGAAAGGCCGGGGCUCAACCCCGGGACUGCAUUGGAAACUGGCAUGCUGGAGUGCCGGAGGG
rnacentral:rRNA from 1 species